rnacentral:rRNA from 1 species
AUUGAACGCUGGCGGCAUGCUUUACACAUGCAAGUCGAACGGUAACAGGGACUUCGGUCUGCUGACGAGUGGCGAACGGGUGAGUAACAUAUUGGAACGUGCCCAGUAAUGGGGGAUAGCUCGGCGAAAGCCGGAUUAAUACCGCAUACGCCCUGAGGGGGAAAGUGGGGGAUCUUCGGACCUCACGUUAUUGGAGCGGCCGAUAUCAGAUUAGCUAGUUGGUAGGGUAAAGGCCUACCAAGGCGACGAUCUAUAGCUGUUCUGAGAGGAUGGACAGCCACACUGGGACUGAGACACGGCCCAGACUCCUACGGGAGGCAGCAGUGGGGAAUAUUGGACAAUGGGGGAAACCCUGAUCCAGCAAUACCGCGUGUGUGAAGAAGGACUUCGGUUUGUAAAGCACUUUCAGUAGGGAGGAAAGGGAGUAGGCUAAUAUCCUACUUCUGUGACGUUACCUACAGAAGAAGCACCGGCUAACUCCGUGCCAGCAGCCGCGGU